rnacentral:rRNA from 1 species
UGGGGAAUAUUGGACAAUGGGCGCAAGCCUGAUCCAGCCAUGCCGCGUGUGUGAAGAAGGCCUUCGGGUUGUAAAGCACUUUCAGCGAUGAAGCGGUAGUCGGAGAAGAAGCCCCGGCUAACUUCGUGCCAGCAGCCGCGGUAAUACGAAGGGGGCUAGCGUUGUUCGGAAUUACUGGGCGUAAAGCGCACGUAGGCGGAUUGUUAAGUGAGGGGUGAAAUCCCAGGGCUCAACCCUGGAACUGCCUCUCAUACUGGCAAUCUCGAGUCCGGAAGAGGUGAGUGGAAUUCCGAGUGUAGAGGUGAAAUUCGUAGAUAUUCGGAGGAACACCAGUGGCGAAGGCGGCUCACUGGUCCGGUACUGACGCUGAGGUGCGAAAGCGUGGGGAGC